ACCCUUGCAACACGCCCUAAACCCCCCCGCCGCCGCGCCUUUGCCUCCAAAAUCAACCCUCGUCCACCACAACAAUCAGUGCGCGUUCAAACUCACGCAUUUAUUUUGAUAUUCACGCACCAGCUGGUGUUGUUUCCCCCGCUUUGCUCCGGGUCUAUUUCGGCUCAAGUGGGGAGGGGUCAUAGUAGAGUAAAGAGCUGCCAUUGACUGGAGACGUGUGAAAAACACUAACAAAUGCUCCAAGUUCCGUAUGUUGCCAGGUUUGCAGCAAUUUCUGGAUAAAUGGGAAAAAAGGCGCACAGGUGCAGCAGCUUACCUCGAGCUCUCUGCAGACUCUGACAUCUCAGACUGCGCACAAACAGAGUUUGCUGAAUAUGCUGCACAGGCCACAGAAGUCAAGACGUUGGAUUUGUGGUCAGAAAUAAGAGAAGUUCCGAAGAGCAGCCUGUGAGUCAGGAGGAAGGACGCCACACCACCACCUGACGAAUUCAACAGUCACUGAGACAACUGUGCGAGGAGAGCCCUGUGCAUUCAAGUGCUCGAUACAACAAUCAAAUAACACGUCUAUGUACACACUGAGUCUUGAUUGAUUACGGAGGUGGUUGUUGGAAAAAUGUACAGCAACACACACAGGAAACCGCUUGGCAAAUCCAUUUAACAUUUCACUCUCAUCCACUGCUUCUUAUUUUUUAUUUCUCUGGUUAACCCCCUUUCUUUUUCUUUCCUUAUAAAACUGCAUGAACUUGCUUUAAACAGCGUCCUUUUAUCCUAAAGUAGAGAAUGAUGUGACAUAUGAAACAACAUGUGUUGCACUGGAUGUCUCACAUAUCGAAGUGCAGUGUGUUUGUGAGUUAUCUCACAUAAACCAACAGUGAAUUAGCAGAACAGUUACUGGGUGCACUGCUGUGAUAAGGUUUAUUAUAACAGACAAUAGAGGCAGAGGUCCACAUAUCUACAUGGCUGAUUGAAUACUUGUAAAAUGCAUGAAUACAGCAGUUUGUAUUAUGAUGGGUUGUGUGAAUAAAACUAUUAACAUUG